GGUGCUGUAGACUAAUUGGUUAGGUCGGCUACAGGGAAUGGCAGGGAAGCAGGUUCAAAUCCCGUCGGCGCCC